rnacentral:rRNA from 1 species
AGUGAACGCUGGCGGCGUGCCUAAUACAUGCAAGUCGAACGGAGUGGCGCACGGGUGAGUAAUAUAUAGCUAAUCUGCUCAUUGCUGGAGGACAACAGUUAGUAAUGACUGCUAAUACUCCAUAGCAAGGGAUGAGACUAUAUCGUAUCAGAUAGUCGGUGGGGUAACGGCCUACCGAGGCGAUGACGCGGAACUGGGCUGAGAGGAUGAUCAGUCACAAUGGAAGUGAGACACGGGGCAAAUGCCUACGGGAGGCAGCAAUAGGGAGUAAUGCGGAUUGAGUUGAACCCUGCCGCAGCAACGCCGCGUGGAAGUUGACACUUUACGUAGCGUAAACUCGUUUUGUUAGGAAAGCGGUAGCUAACGAGUAAGCUCCUGCAAACUCCGUGCCAGCAGCCGCGGUAAUUC